GGAGUUUUCAUCUUAUGAUUUAUUUCAAGAAGUGACUGAUGACUGAUAUCUUCUUUCUUUUUUAAUAAUAGCUUUUUGUUUUCAAAAUACAUGCAAAGAUAGUUUUCAACAUUCACACUUACAAAAUCUUGUGUUCCAAAUUUUUUUCCCUCUUACCCUUCUUCCCCCAAAUAGCAAAUAAUGCAAUAUAAGUUAAAUGUGCAAUUCUUCUAAACAUAUUUCCACAUUUAUCAUACUGCACAACAAAAAUCAAAUCAAGAAGGGAAAAAAAUGAGAAAGAAAAAAACAAGCAAGCAAACAACAAAAAAAGGUGAAAAUACUAUAUUUUCUGAGUGCAUCCCCUGUCUCCUGGCCCUGGGGACACGCCCCUUCUAAGAUUCACCAUACUAUAUAUAUUAUAUAUAUUACUAUAUAAUAGCUAUAUAGUAAAAUAUAGUCCACAGAAUCCUCUUUCUGGAUGUAAAUGUCUCUCUCCAUCAUAAAUCUAUUAGAAUUGGCCUGAAUCAUCUCAUUGCUGAAAAGAGCCAUGUGAUGGAUUCUUUCAAUGACUAUUUUAUUCUGUGAUUCAGGGAUAUCAAGGCAGUUUUGCAUGAUGAUUUCUUGAAAGAUGCUGUCCAGGGUCUUUUUUUGAUCAUGGCUUUCAUGAUCUCUCCUGGAUCUAUUUUUCCAAGUGAGUUGUUUUUCCAAAUUGGCAUUUCAUAUUUUCUUCUUUUUUUUGCAUUUUAAAAAUUUUGUUUGAUUGAUUCUUAAUAUCUCAUGGAGCUAUUAUCUCCUAUUUAUCCAAUUCUAGUUUUUAAGUUGUGAUUUUCUUCAGUUAGCUUUUGUACCUUCUUUUCCAUUUGGGUAAUUCUACUUUUGAAGGAGUUGUUUUCUUCAAUCAAUUUUUGUCCUUUCUUUUCCAAGCUGUUGACUUGCACAUCUCUCAUUUCUUUUCCUAAUUUUUCUUCUACCUCACUUAUUUGACUUUUAAAGUACUUUUUGAGAGCUUUGGGCUUGAGAAUAAUUCAUAUUCCCUUUGAGGUUUCAUACUAGGCAUUGUCUUCUUCUAAGUUGGUGUUUUGAUCUUUCCUUUUACUCUAUUAGCUUUCUAUAGUUAAGGCUUUUUUUUUUCUUUCUUUUUUUUUUUUUUUUUUUUUAAAUACCUAUUUCAUUACUUUUAAAGCUGAGCUCUGCUCCUGGAGUACAGAGGGUAUAAUAAAGAGGGUAAAAAUAAAAAGUCUUUAUUAUACUUAUUAAAUACUUGUUCACUUGCUUUGAAAAAAAGGAAAAUUUUUUACUUUAAUUUUUUUAUGUAAGGCAGUUAGGAUUAAAUGACUUGUUCAGGAUCACACAGCUAGAAGCAUUAAGAGUCUGAGGCCAGAUUUAAACUCGGGUCCUCCUGAUUUCAGGGCCAGUGCUCUAUUAUUGCACCACGUAGGCUGCCCCCCAAAAAGGAAAUUUUAGUCUCAAUAUAAUGAAAACUUUAAUACACAAAGAUUGUCACAAAGCAGAAUGGCUUGCUAAUAGGGUAUAGUGGUAAAGGUCUUUAAGCAAAAAGUAAGAUGACCACUCCUCUUUUAAGUUAUAGGGGUAGAUUAGAUAGUGGGAACUCCCUCUAAUCUAGACUUGGUGAUUGUGAUGAAUGCAAGAAUCUUUUUCCAAAGAAAGGAAUAACCAGAUGGAAGGUCAUAUGCUUAAAGGCCUGUUUCCUCUGUUAACUUUUUUGUUUUUAUUUUUUUUCCUUUUUUUUAAAAUUUUUAAAAUUUUUAAAAAUUUUAAAAAAAUUUUAUUUAUUUAUAAAAAAUUUUAUUUAUUUAUUUAUUAUUUAUUUAUAAAUUUUUUAAAUUUAUUAUUUAUUUAUA
ensembl:lncRNA